rnacentral:SRP_RNA from 1 species
UCCGGACGUCAGCGGCUCCUGUUCGCUGUACGAGACGCGGGCGCGAACCGGGCAAAGGGUGGAAAGGAAGCAGGGAGGACA